GCCCGGGUGGCGGAACGGUAUACGCGCAACACUUAAAAUGUUGUCCUGCUAACGCGGGAUGUGGGUCCGACUCCCACCCCGGGCA
rnacentral:tRNA from 1 species